CCUACGGGUGGCAGCAGUGAGGAAUAUUGGUCAAUGGCCGGAAGGCUGAAGCAGCCAAGUCGCGUGAGGGACGACUGCCCUAUGGGUUGUAAACCUCUGUCUUUGGGGAACAAAAUGACGGUACCCAAAGACGAAGCUCCGGCUAACUACGUACCAGCAGCCGCGGUAAUACGUAGGGAGCGAGCGUUGCCCGGAAUUACUGGGUGGAAAGGGGCGUAGGCGGGGGAGAAAGUUGAAUGUUAAAUCUACCGGCUUAACUGGUAGCUGCGUACAAAAACUCUUGGCUUGAGUUAAGUAGGGGCAGGCGGAAUUCCUGGUGUAGCGGUGAAAUGCGUAGAUAUUAGGAGGAACACCAGUGGCGAAGGCGGGCUGCUGGGCUUUAACUGACGCUGAGGCUCGAAAGCGUGGGGAGCAAACAGGAUUAGAUACCCGAGUAGUC
rnacentral:rRNA from 1 species